rnacentral:rRNA from 1 species
GACGGACGCUGGCGGCGUGCCUAAUACAUGCAAGUUGAGCGCUGAAGGUUGGUACUUGUACCAACUGGAUGAGCAGCGAACGGGUGAGUAACGCGUGGGGAAUCUGCCUUUGAGCGGGGGACAACAUUUGGAAACGAAUGCUAAUACCGCAUAAAAACUUUAAACACAAGUUUUAAGUUUGAAAGAUGCAAUUGCAUCACUCAAAGAUGAUCCCGCGUUGUAUUAGCUAGUUGGUGAGGUAAAGGCUCACCAAGGCGAUGAUACAUAGCCGACCUGAGAGGGUGAUCGGCCUCAUUGGGACUGAGACACGGCCCAAACUCCUACGGGAGGCAGCAGUAGGGAAUCUUCGGCAAUGGACGAAAGUCUGACCGAGCAACGCCGCGUGAGUGAAGAAGGGUUUCGGAUCGUAAAACUCGGUUGGUAGAGAAGAACGUUGGUGAGAGUGGAAAGCUCAUCAAGUGACGGUAACUACCCAGAAAGGGACGGCUAACUACGUG